rnacentral:rRNA from 1 species
GAUGAACGCUAGCGAUAGGCUUAACACAUGCAAGUCGAGGGGCAGCAUUAUUUUAGCUUGCUAGAUAGAUGGCGACCGGCGCACGGGUGCGUAACGCGUAUGCAACCUGCCUGUAAUUAGGGAAUAACCCGGUGAAAGUCGGACUAAUACCCUAUAUUCUUCUUUCUCCGCAUGGAGGAGGACGGAAAGAUUUAUUGAUUACAGAUGGGCAUGCGUCCCAUUAGCUGGUUGGUAAGGUAACGGCUUACCAAGGCAACGAUGGGUAGGGGGACUGAGAGGUUGACCCCCCACACUGGUACUGAGACACGGACCAGACUCCUACGGGAGGCAGCAGUGAGGAAUAUUGGUCAAUGGGCGAGAGCCUGAACCAGCCAAGUCGCGUGAAGGACGACGGUUCUAUGGAUUGUAAACUUCUUUUGUAGAGGAAUAACGGCAGCUACGAGUAGCUGAGAUGCAUGUACUCUACGAAUAAGUAUCGGCUAACUCCGUGCCAGCAGCCGCGGUAAUACGGAGGAUACGAGCGUUAUCCGGAAUUAUUGGGUUUAAAGGGUGCGUAGGUGGCGUAUUAAGUCAGUGGUGAAAAGCUGCAGCUCAACUGUAGUCUUGCCGUUGAAACUGAUAUGCUAGAGAAGAGACGAGGUAUGCGGAAUGUGUGGUGUAGCGGUGAAAUGCAUAGAUAUCACACAGAACGCCGAUUGCGAAGGCAGCGUACCAGGCUCCGUCUGACACUGAAGCACGAAAGCGUGGGGAUCAAACAGG